AUUGAACGCUGGCGGCAUGCUUUACACAUGCAAGUCGAACGGUAACAGGCCUUCGGGCGCUGACGAGUGGCGAACGGGUGAGUAAUGCAUCGGAACGUGCCCAGUCGUGGGGGAUAACGCAGCGAAAGCUGUGCUAAUACCGCAUACGAUCUGCGGAUGAAAGCGGGGGACCUUCGGGCCUCGCGCGAUUGGAGCGGCCGAUGUCAGAUUAGGUAGUGGGUGGGGUAAAGGCUCACCAAGCCAACCAUCUGUAGCUGGUCUGGGAGGACGACCAGCCAGACUGGGACUGGGACACGGCCCGGACUCCUAGGGGAGGCAGCAGUGGGGAAUUUUGGACAAUGGGCGCAAGCCUGAUCCAGCAAUGCCGCGUGCAGGAAGAAGGCCUUCGGGUUGUAAACUGCUUUUGUACGGAGCGAAAAGGCUCCCUCUAAUACAGGGGGCUCAUGACGGUACCGUAAGAAUAAGCACCGGCUAACUACGUGCCAGCAGCCGCCGUAAGAC
rnacentral:rRNA from 1 species